CCUUUGGAGUGUUAUAUAAACCAGAUUAGUCAGAUUUAUGAUGAAAUGGGACACGAUGAAUAAGGAA
rnacentral:ncRNA from 1 species